UGACUGCCCAGCAAGAUACUCUCACGAAAUAAAUAUGGAAUAGUAAUGUAUUUUUACUAAUAAUUCACGUUUAAAGAAAAAGUUUGCCGAAAUUUUUAACAGGAGUUAUCAUCUUGGAAAAGAGAUAAGAAUUUGCUUCAGAAAAGUGGGGAACAAAACAUGAAAGGUUCUUACACAAGUGAACCUUCUGUUAAGAAACAUAUUCAGUGGUACGAAGCUGUUUCAUCUUUAUGCAUCUAAAAUACAUUUCACCGUUCGCACAUAUACUUACAAUUAAUUAAAAAGCAUGGAAACAAAAAACGGCAAGUGAUGACUCUCUGCACUUGCUUAUUUCCUUUUUUCCCUUUCAACUUCCCCCUAAGCCUUGCAAACCCACUGGGCGAAGUUCUGAUGUCAUUAGACGAAUAGAAGAAAAGCGCGGGAAACCAUUCUUUAAACUUAUUCUUGAUGUACUUGUUGUAACAUGCAUCCUACCUGUCGUUCAUCCAUGUCAGUAUCAUACUUUUGUAUCCAAUUUUCUACUUCUGUUUCAACCUUGAACCUUUUCUGGAAAAUACAGCAAGACCAAAGACAAACAAGUUAAUACACAAAACCGUUUGUGGAAAUAAAUAGAGAUGAAAGAAUCAGUUUAAGGUAGAAAGCUUGUGAUCUAUAAUGAAUUAUUCACAGUGAUAGACGUAUAGUCAUCAUGAAAUUUCUACAAAUUUCCAAUUUCCCUAGGAAAUGUCAAUACACUGAGUGAUGAAUCACCUUUCGAAAAAUAA